GACGAACGCUGGCGGCGUGCUUAACACAUGCAAGUCGAGCGAACAGACGCGGCUUUUGUUCCUCUGACGUUUGGCGCGCAGGUGUGUGACACGUGAGUAUCCUCCCCCUAUAUGUGUGGUAUCACCCCGGAAAACGGGCUAAUACAGCGGAUAAUAUAUUGAUCCGCAUGGUUCAAUAGGGAAAGGCGGUUUUGGUGUCACUUAUAGAUGCAUCCUCGCCGCUUUGGCUAGUUGGUAAGGUAACGGCUUACCAGGGCAACGAGGCGUAGCCGACCUGAGAGGGUGAGAGGCCACACGGGAACUUAGACACGGACCUGAGGCCUAGGGGAGGCCGCAGUGGGGAAUCUUCGGCAAUGGGCGAAAGCGUGAAAGAGCAACGCCGCGUGAGUGAUGGAGGUCUUCGGAUCGUAAGGCUGUGUUAUUAGGGAGGAACAAAUGUAUAAGUAACUAUGCACGUCUUGACGGUACCUGGUCAAGAAGCCACGGCUAACUACGUG
rnacentral:rRNA from 1 species